rnacentral:misc_RNA from 1 species
UGAAAAUUAGCCUCUGGAUACCGACUCGCUGAGAGAAAAAAAAAAAAAAGUCCACCUCAUCAAUCUCCGUCUACCUGAUAACAGCCACCGUGCUUCCUCCUUUUCUGUCAGUUCGCAACGGCUUUCCAUGACCGUACUCUUAUUUUUUCUGUCUAAAACCUCUUCUAGGGUUUACUCACUGUGAACACUAAUUAAGCAUAAAUAAAAAAAAAAUUUCUGAAAAAGUAAAAUCCUUCAUUAACAACCACUAAUUAUCCAAACAAGGGACAUGGAAUUGGACGAUGACCAUGCUACGAUAAGCCUCUAAACGAGGAGGAAGAAGAAGACGAUGACGAGAUUACGCAGGAGGACGCAUGGGCCGUUAUCUCUGCCUAUUUCGAAGAGAAAGGUCUAGGGCGUCAACAGCUCGAUUCAUUCGAUGAGUUUAUUCAG